UACGUAGGGUCCAAGCGUUGUCCGGAAUUAUUGGGCGUAAAGAGCUCGUAGGUGGUGUGUCGCGUCGGAUGUGAAAUCCCGGAGCUUAACCCCGGUUCUGCAUUCGAUACGGGCUAGCUAGAGUGUGGUAGGGGAGAUCGGAAUUCCUGGUGUAGCGGUGAAAUGCGCAGAUAUCAGGAGGAACACCGGUGGCGAAGGCGGAUCUCUGGGCCAUUACUGACGCUGAGGAGCGAAAGCGUGGGGAGCGAACAGG
rnacentral:rRNA from 1 species